rnacentral:misc_RNA from 1 species
AAGUCGUAACAAGGUUUCCGUAGGUGAACCUGCGGAAGGAUCAUUACAAUCAGUAGAUUUCUACUGCUGAGAGAGAGCGGAAAGUAGUCAGCUGCCCCUGGUAGCCUGGCUGCAAGUAUGUUCUCUGUCUGUACCCUUGUCUUUUAUGCGUACUCAUGUUUCCUCGGCGGGCUUGCCCGCCGGUUGGACAACCUUACAAACUUUUUAAUUCUCAAUCAGCGUCUGAAUAAUUAUAAUAAUUACAACUUUCAACAACGGAUCUCUUGGUUCUG